CUGGGCCUUGCUGCACCAUUCCUUGAAUGCAAAGCAAUUCAAGGAAAAGAGUAACCUCUGUUACAUUAGAAAUCACACGUUUCUGACCCAGAAAGAGAGGAAUUUCACAGCCUCCCAGGACACGUGCUGGAGGGAGGAUUUCUGGAGCCUAAACCAGAGAAGCCCAGGAGAUGCUGGUGUGAAGGCUCACUGCAAGCAUCUGCUGCUUCUGGAGGAGGUCCUGUGGCAAUGCAUGUGCUCAGGAUGAAUAGGAAUUGAAGUUAGCAGAAGAAACAACUCCUUUGUAGUAAUGCUCUGUAGGUGUUAUCAGGGCUAAUCUUAUGGUGGCUCUAAGGACUUUUGGACUAAGGUUUUAGUCCAAAAAUUUUACUGCUCAGGUCCAUGCUACCCCAUUUGUCAGUUGUUUACACCCUACAUAUGGAUUAGCACUGUAUGCUAACCAUGAAAACCUGUUCUGCUCUUAACCCACCUGAAUGAAGCACUGAUGCAGCUCACCACAUCUGAUAUUUAUCUUUACUUCCCUAAGAUGCUGGACCACAAAAAGCAGGAACAGAUUUCCUUCAGGAAACAUACCUUGGCCCCUGUCCACCGUCAGAUAGUUGGGAGUGAGGUGGUCUUCGCAGUGAUUAAGCACAGAUUUUGCAGAGAAGGGAUAAAGCGUCGUGGGCAAGGACCUGUGGACUGAAAGUCAGAGUAACUGCAAUGCAAUGCCAUCACCCCAUCUCACAGCUCAGAGCCUUUGCACAUCUCAUGGGCUGCCUGCAGCCUACACAGUUCACAGAGUGGAAAAAGGAAUUGAAGAAGCAAAAAUAAAUAUUGAAUCACGUAAGAAUUAAAUAUCACCUAUUUAAAUAGCAAUUACGCUGCUAAAAACAAGAUCACCACACCUGUACAAGAAAAGACAAGCAAGCCCAAAACAUCUGUUUGCAUCCACCUGCCAAGCACCUGUUCCGCUGUUUCAAUGCCAUUUGAUUGCUGGAGAUGUAGAGGCUCUUGUGAGGCCGGUCGUCUCACAGGGAACUGUAUGCAGAAUCCAUCAGCCCACGCUCCUCAUCACGAACUCAGUUGUUCUUUGAGACCAUCUCCCAGAGAUGAGGAAGAUGUGUUAAUCCAAAUGAAGAGACGCAGCCAAGCUUGGAGCAUCCUCUCUGCUGCUUCCCAAGUAUUUUCUCAGGUAUUAAACUAGCACUGGACUCAACUAAGAGGAGUGAUCAAACUAUCUGCUAAAGAACUCAAACAGGAACUGGAAGCUGAACUUCAGAAUCACGAAGAGCACUGCUACAGCAUGAGAAAAAUCUGGAUGAAGACAUGAACUGGAGACAUGUCUACCACACUACAAGAAAUUGAAAGAAUACAAUCCCAUUUGACUCUAAAAAUCUUUCUAGGCUAAUUACCAGCUCACAAAGCAGAGAAAUUAAGGCAGAGAGGGCAUGUUCAUGAUGACAACCUUUACCCAUUAGCAAGCUUUGCAUUUUCCCAAGGCUGAAGACAGUUUAGCCCUGACAAAUGCAAUCAGUGAUAUGCAGGCGUAACCUCCAGAAAUAAGCUCACAUUUUUAGGAUCCACAGGGCAAAAGAUGGACUGCAGUAGGUCACUAUUAAAAUAUUUGAAAUACAGCUUGGCCAGUGCUGAAAUGGCACAGUUGGCCUGAAGUCGCUUCAAGGUCUCCUGGCAUCUGAGUGUUUCCCCAGUGGCUUUGUGCAGUAAAGUGUUAACUUCUCCUGAGUGGUUAUGUAUUUAAGGCAGUAACUUUAAAAUAAGGAAUUGCAACCUUAGAGCAAAGCUGCUAUUUUGAGAAUUUUAAACCAUUAUUGACUCCUGUCAGAUCAGUUUCUAGACUUAUUGACUCAAGAAGUAAAUAUAGACUGAGAGAAAGCGAGGUCAAGUCAAUAUUUAUCUUGCAGAUCAAUACAUUUUGAUACUAACCAAAAAUUAAGCUCAAUAAAUGCAUAUAUUAUAUACAGCAAGGUUAGGAGAGAUCCAUUCAGAAAAUUUGUCAAUUUGAAAUUUCCCAAUGGAAUCUAACCUUUUGGAUUCAAUUUCCAUUAGAAAUUCUGUCCCUUUAAGGUUCCGUAAGUGACUGAUGACGAGCCCCCAUCACCCAAUCAGAUUUCCAGAUGAUAGUUGAAUAGCAGUGAAAGGAAAAGGAAAGAAAGAUGAAGUGAGAAAAAGUUGGUCGCAGGAGCUCAAUCACGGCGUUAGGAGGAGGCAGACUCGGCAGUGAUUGAAAUACCUAAAAAGAAAAAAAGAAAACUGUUGGUUUCAUUGGAGCGAGUUUCGAGGUCUGUCUGUUUGCGCACAGUCCAAAUCUCAGACAGCUCAGCUCAGGGUUUGUACCAUCAGGAGAACGGAAGAGCUGGCAAGCUGAGACACUACCAGUACUUUGUGGAAACCGACAUAUGAAUUUGUUCUACAAAUGUGCCAGGGACACACUGAUCCAACAGUUAGAUCACUUCCAGAAGACACCGAGUUAGAUCUCCGAGUUCACUUCCAAUUGCUGACUACUACUAUCCAAUAAAAGAAAAUUUCUGCAUAAAGUAAACAAGUAUAUCAGAGGAAGACUGACUGUCACUGCAGAGGGAAGAGGGAAUGAGAAUGAGAAUUGCAAGAGAAAAAAUCAUGAAAAAAUUCCUCCUUCUCUGGGAUGAAUACAGGGGAUUGGAAACGUUCUGGGAUUUCAUCAUCAACUUCCCAGCUUGACAACGAGACCCUCGUGACCCAGCAAUGAGUCCCAGUUCCCACCUGGGUGCCUCUGGAGAGUGACAAAUCUCUUGGAUGUGCUCUCACAUCCCAGAAGCACAGGCCAGGAACAUCUGUCUGUUCCUUCCUUUCCUUCAGACUGCCCCGAGGAGAAAGGGAGGCAGGCAAGUAAGGAUAUGAAAGGCAAACACUCAACUGGCCGUGUCACAUUAGCCAACUUAAAUAAUUCCUCUUGGCUGUGGAAACAGCCUUCCCAUCCAAAGCUGUCUUUUUUUUUUUUCUUUUUUUUUUUUCUUUUUUUUUCCCCCUUUUUUUCCCCCCCAAAAAACAAGAACAACUUAUUUCCAAUUUUGGGCAGCUUCCCUGGCUGUGGGCCAGCUCUCCCCACUGCCUCUCUGUGCUACUUCCCAACACCUCUCAAGUGAUCUGACUGAGUGCCUCAGGGAUCAAACUUUACCGAACAGGAAAAUCAAAGUAUGCAAAUGAAGCUCGGGUUAUUACAUAUAUAAUGAUGAAAACGA